UACGAAGGGGGCUAGCGUUGCUCGGAAUCACUGGGCGUAAAGGGUGCGUAGGCGGGUCUUUAAGUCAGGUGUGAAAUUUCGGAGCUUAACUCCGAAACUGCAUUUGAUACUGGUGUGCUUGAGGACUGGAGAGGAGACUGGAAUUCAUGGUGUAGCAGUGAAAUGCGUAGAGAUCAUGGAGGAAGACCCAGUGGCGAAGGCGGGUCUCUGGACAGUUCCUGACAGCUGAG
rnacentral:rRNA from 1 species